rnacentral:rRNA from 1 species
AUGGCGACUGAUCUGGGCACCGACGACCCCCCCGCAGUUCACCUCCGCGCGAUGGGCGAGGCACUCGCCACGGACAUGGCGGGCGAGCGCCGCGCGGCAUGCGAGGGUCGCGGCAUGACCACCGUCGACGACCUCUGCACCGCAGACAAGCCAGCGUCGCGCGCCGUCCCCACUGUCCGCGACCUCUGCGGCGCCAACAAGCCAACACCGCGCGCCGUCCCCACCGUCCCGGAGUUCGCCGUAGGCGAGGAGCUGCCGAAUCCAGAGGUUCCUAGCAAAGUUACUAUUCCUGAGGCUUUGGAGUCAACCAACUACAGUCAACAAGAUUAUUCAGGGGAUGAUAGCAUGAAUGAACAAGAGGAGCAAACUAUAGUUGAUAUGACAGAAUCAGACGCAUCAGACGGCAUGCUGAUUGAUGGCCUGAGAACAUUUUUAUAG